rnacentral:rRNA from 1 species
AUUGAACGCUGGCGGCAUGCCUAACACAUGCAAGUCGAACGGCAGCACAGCAGUAGCAAUACUGUGGGUGGCGAGUGGCGGACGGGUGAGGAAUACGUCGGAAUCUGCCCAGUCGUGGGGGAUAACUAGCCGAAAGGUUAGCUAAUACCGCAUACGACCGAGAGGUGAAAGCGGGGGACCGCAAGGCCUCGCGCGAUUGGAUGAGCCGACGUCGGAUUAGCUAGUUGGCGUGGUAAAGGCCCACCAAGGCGACGAUCCGUAGCUGGUCUGAGAGGAUGAUCAGCCACACUGGAACUGAGACACGGUCCAGACUCCUACGGGAGGCAGCAGUGGGGAAUAUUGGACAAUGGGCGCAAGCCUGAUCCAGCAAUGCCGCGUGUGUGAAGAAGG